rnacentral:rRNA from 1 species
UACGGAGGGGGCUAGCGUUGUUCGGAAUUACUGGGUGUAAAGCGCACGUAGGCGGCUUUGUAAGUUAGAGGUGAAAGCCCAGGGCUUAACCCUGGAAUUGCCUUUAAGACUGCAUCGCUAGAAUCGUGGAGAGGUGAGUGGAAUUCCGAGUGUAGAGGUGAAAUUCGUAGAUAUUCGGAAGAACACCAGUGGCGAAGGCGACUCACUGGACACGUAUUGACGCUGAGGUGCGAAAGCGUGGGGAGCAAACAGG